rnacentral:rRNA from 1 species
GAAGAGCUGUAUUUAUUAGAUAAAAAACCAAUGCCCUUCGGGGCUCCUUGGUGAUUCAUAAUAACUUAACGAAUCGAAUGGCCUUGCGCCGUCGAUGGUUCAUUCAAAUUUCUGCCCUAUCAACUUUCGAUGGUAAGGUAGUGGCUUACCAUGGUUUCAACGGGUAACGGGGAAUAAGGGUUCGGUUCCGGAGAGGGAGCCUGAGAAACGGCUACCACAUCCAAGGAAGGCAGCAGGCGCGCAAAUUACCCAAUCCCAAUUCGGGGAGGUAGUAAGUUUUUAUCUAUUGAGGUCCUCCCAAGAACCAAUAACUAACAAAUCUUCUAGGUGACAAUAAAUACUGAUACAGGGCUCUUUCGGGUCUUGUAAUUGGAAUGAGUACAAUUUAAAUCCCUUAACGAGGAACAAUUGGAGGGCAAGUCUGGUGCCAGCAGCCGCGGUAAUUCCAGCUCCAAUAGCGUAUAUUAAAGUUGUUGCAGUUAAAAAGCUCGUAGUUGAACUUUGGGUCUGGCUGCUUGGUCCAUCUCACGAUGCGUACUUUGUGGCCGGACCUUUCCUUCUCGGAAAUCCUAUGCUCUUCAUUGCGCGUAGUGAGGAACGAGGACUUUUACUUUGAAAAAAUUAGAGUGUUCAAAGCAGGCCUUUGCUCG